GAUGAACGCUGGCGGCGUGCCUAACACAUGCAAGUCGAGCGAACAGACGAGGAGCUUGCUCCUUUGACGUUAGCGGCGGACGGGUGAGUAACACGUGGAAAACCUACCUAUAAUACUGGGAUAAUUUCGGGAAACCGGAGCAAAUACCGGAUAAUAUAUUGAACCAAAUGGUUCAUUAGUGAAAGACGGUUUUGCUGUCACUUAUAGAUGUUUCUGCGCCGCUUUAGCUAGUUGGUAAGGUAACGGCUUUCCAAGGCAACGAUGCGUAGCCGACCUGAGAGGGUGGUCGCCCACACGGGAACUGAGACACGGUCCAGACUCCUACGGGAGGCAGCAGUAGAGAAUCUUCCGCAAUGGGCGAGAGCCUGACGGAGCAACGCCGCGUGAGUGAUAAAGGUCUUCGGAUCGUAAAACUCUGUUAUUAGGGAAGAACAAAUGUGUAAGUAACUGUGCACGUCUUGACGGUACCUAAUCAGAAAGCCACGGCUAACUACGUG
rnacentral:rRNA from 1 species